AUGUAGCUGACGGGUCUUAAAUAGGACGAGACGCUCGUCCUGGAU
rnacentral:hammerhead_ribozyme from 1 species